CAAGCUUUUGGUGGCUCUUGAGCUGAACACUCAUUUGUCUGCCUGUGAUUUGUUACAAAAGAUCAGAGCCUGGCAGCAGGUCACCGUCCUAGUACCGGCACAAGAAGCUUUGCUUAAACGUGCUAAUAAUUUACAAGGUGUAUUGCUGGGGGCUGCCUGGUCACUACUGUAGUAACAGCAGAAAUCAACAGAGGCAGAAUUCUGUAAAAUGAAAAGCGCAGUAUUACAGUUGAGUGCCAAUGUCAGCAACAUAUCAGGAAACCUACAGCAGGCACUGUAAUUUACCAAGAAGACACAGCUGUCCAGAACCACAACACUCCAAAUAUUUUAUGAAAAUAAUAAUCAUGGCCUUCCUGACUUUACAAUACAGCAUUAAAAUGAUAAUUUCUGAAGUGCACUCCCUUAUCAAGAAAAGAGGAAAAAUAUGAUUAACUUGAAUGCCCUAUAAAUAUACAUUUCAAUCAUGUCUGUAGGGCUGUGUUACCAGGCUAAUAUAGGGUGGAUGGAGGUGACAUGUUUUUAGGAAAAGUGUUGUUAUCUAUGCUGCCAGCCUUGUAGGGUGCCCUGGAGAUGCUUGGCCAAGUUGGGAAGAUCAUUCUUUGUACUUGCCAGUAUCACCUACAAAGACAGCCAGCUAGUCUGGAAUUCCCCUAGCCUAUAACAACAAUGCAAAAUACCUUAAUGCACUUCCUCUUGAAUGGAUUAAGAGGAACAAUGCCUUCUAGCCUGGGAUAUAGCUCCCAAGUCUCAGCCCUGCCAUUUAGACAGAGGUUAUGAAAAACCCACUCAUCAGUGAAGUUCUACCCGACAUUUGCCUUAAAAAAAACACUAAUCACAUUUUCAGCUUCCUGCCUGAUUUCUCCUAAGACCAUAGCCCUUGAUUGGUUUUUGUCCUGAAGUUGUUAUUUCAUCCAUUUCACCCCCUAAAACAUUCAUGUCAUCCUGCCACUCCUAGCUUGGCCCAUUAAGCCAAAUACCUAGCCCACUACCCAACACUUAAGCUAAUCUCUCUCUUUGUCUUUUACUGGAAAGCAAGGUUUCUCUUCAUCUUGGGUGAUUAAGGGUCUCUUUGCAUCACCAGGGGGCCUGUUUCUCCCUAUAAAAUAGCCCCUCUCCCAGAAUUCAAUGCCCAGUCCUUCUGAACCAGAAUUUGAUUCAGUUGUACUACAUAUCAUCUGCUUUCUCUCCUGCCUUCUUGAAGCUCAAGCACUGGGACUCUGUUUUUUUGAACACCUGCUUCAGAAAUAGGUUGUAUAAUCCAUACCCCAAUUUUUCCACUAUUCCUAGCUUAUCCCCUCAACACUGCUUAUAUCCCAGGACUGUGUGUGU